UAUCUCUGUAGAGUCUGCAUAUCAAUAAGCGGAGGAAAAGAAACUAACUAGGAUUCCCUCAGUAACGGCGAGUGAAGCGGGAAGAGCUCAAAUUUGAAAUCUUCAAGGUUCUACCUUGACGAAUUGUAGUUUAAAGAAGUGUUUUCUGUUGGAGUUUUGGUAAAAGUUCUUUGGAAUAGGACAUCAUAGAGGGUGAGAAUCCCGUAUUUGACCAUUAUUUCCAGCUUUGUGAUACACUUUCAAAGAGUCGGAUUGUUUGGGAAUGCAGUCCAAAAUGGGUGGUAAAUUUCAUCUAAAGCUAAAUAUUGGCGAGAGACCGAUAGCGAACAAGUACCGUGAGGGAAAGAUGAAAAGAACUUUGAAAAGAGAGUUAAACAGUACGUGAAAUUGUCAAAAGGGAAGCGUUUGACACCAGUGUUGUUUUCUCGAAAAUCAAUUAAAAAAGGCAGGAUUUUGUGUUGUAUUGACUUUAUCAGCUUUCUGCACUCUUUUCUCGUCUUUUUUUAAUGCACUUUUCGUUUAACAAGUCAACAUCAAUUUCUUUUGUUGUAAAAGGGUCAUUGGAAGGUGGCUUUCUUUUCGGAGAAAGUGUUUAUAGCCUUUGGCCUCUGCAAUCGGAGAGAUUGAGGUCUGCAGCGUAGAUCCUUCGGGGUUAGAUACAGUUAGAUGCUAAGUUAUAGCCUUUUCAUAGACAACUUGUUGACUAUAAUCAGUCAUGUAGCUUACUCGCUUAUGGCUAUUUUACCUACGCUUAGGAUGUUGACGAUCAGCUGAGCGCG
rnacentral:rRNA from 1 species